GAUGAACGCUGGCGGCGUGCCUAAUACAUGCAAGUCGAGCGAACGUACGAGAAGCUUGCUCCUCUGAUGUUAGCGGCGGACGGGUGAGUAACACGUGGAUAACCUACCUAUAAGACUGGGAUAACUUCGGGAAACCCAAGCUAAUACCGGAUGAUAUUUUGAAUCGCAUGGUUCAACAUUGAAAGACGGUCUUGCUGUCACUUAUAGAUGGAUCCGCUCUGCAUUAGCUAGUUGGGAAGGUAACGGCUUACCAAGGCAACGAUACAUAGCCGACCUGGGAGGGUGAGCGGCCACACUGGAAGGGAGACACGGUCCAGACUACUACGGGAGGCAGCAGUAGGGAAUCGUCCGCAAAGGGCGAAAGCCUGACGGAGCAACGCCGCGUGAGUGAUAAAGGUCUUCGGAUCGUAAAACUCUGUUAUUAGGGAAGAACAUAUGUGUAAGUAACUGUGCACAUCUUGACGGUACCUAAUCAGAAAGCCACGGCUAACUACGUG
rnacentral:rRNA from 1 species